rnacentral:tRNA from 2 species
GGAGAGAUGGCCGAGUGGUUGAAGGCGUAACAUUGGAACUGUUAUGUAGACUUUUGUU